rnacentral:misc_RNA from 1 species
AGUAAUGGAGCUAUUUGACCCCAUUACUAACAAUCUCUUUCCCCCCACCACAUGGAAGUUGACUCCUCCGACAUCACAGAAUUUACCCUUUGUAAUACUUUGACAUUGACAGUUGCUUGUAGACAAUGUAUAACUGGACGAUUUUUCUUGCAUCCCUAACUCACGCGCACUCUACUGUUCUAGCUCAUUAACUCAAAAUCACACCGUAACGCACAGGAUAACAUGUAUCACUAUACUUUAUAUUUUGCUAUGCCUCACAAAAUGGGCGACGAAAAAAAAAACUGCUUUAUUGUAACCGUCUGCAUAGUUUACAAAUAUUUUCGCAGAAUUGCGCAAUGUUUUGUUACCCUCAUGGAUUUAGUAUAACGUACUACAUAAUCUAAGGUUACCCAUGUCUAGUCUUUGUCAUAGUCUCUGUGAUCUGUGAUGCUUGUCAUCUGUCAAAGUCAUUGAAUUAUUUGUCAUUCUAAAAUGUGCGAACUUUUCUAUUUUAUUUAUAAAAACAAAUCUAAAUAAAUGUUAUUUUUUUUACCUAUUUUAUAGAAAUUUUCAAUGUUUAUUAUAUUGUGGGUAAUAUAAUGAUCUUCGUUCAUGUGAAAAAUGCAAAGUAAUACAAGUCACUUCCGUUCACCAAUUAUUCCAACAGCUUCCACUUGCGAGGAUAUGACAGACAGUGCAUUUUUAUUUGUCGCUAACUUACCCCCAGAUUGGAACCAUAAUAAGAUUAAAUUGUUUGUUAUUGAAACAUGCAAAUCUCCUACAAUUGGGCAAUCAUUACAAUAUGUGACAAUUUUAAAAGAUGUAAAAAAUAAAUCAAAAGGAGAGUGCUUAUUGACAUUUAAAAGUCAAAAUGUGUGUCAAAUGGCUAUGAAAUUAUUGAGAGGCGCUAAAUGUGAAAACAAAAAGAUCAUAGUAAUGCAGGAUUCUGGUCAUCUAUUUGAACAUUUUGAAAAAUUUUGUAAAAACAAAAAUAAAAAUUCAUCAGCAAAAAAUACACUAAUCAACGAGACAAAAUCUGUUGAUCAAGUUGAUCAGCACCAGACAUAUGGACUUAGUAAAGAUUUUUUGAAAUAUCUCAACAUAUCGCUGCCAUUAUUUAAAAGAAUAUUUGUUGGUAAUUUACCGCUAGAUAUAGAUGAAAAGAAAUUACGCCAACUGUUCGGAUACGCUGGACAUAUCUUUGGCGUGAUACUCCUGAAAUGUGAAGAUAGAACGAAAAUGUUUGCCAAGAUCGAGUAUGAUCAUCCAGUAGAAGCUGUACAGGCGAUAUCAAUGUUCCAUGGACAUCAAUUUAUGAAUAAAACAUUAGUUGUUAAAAUGGAAAACAAUCCAAAUGCGCAAUUUAAAUCAGUGGGCCCUGGUUUAGGACCUAAUGGACAACCGUUAAGGGGUAUUAGGUAUGCCGUAGAGUUUGAGCCCAUCAAGCAACUUUUCCUACAGGAACUUGCUAAAUUUAAAUCUCAAGAGGAAAAUGUGAACAGCAUGACUGUAAAUCAAGUGAUCCCACAAGACACCAUGGGUAUCAUGAACAACAUGAUGAACUUCCAGAACCCUAUGGGCCUAUUUAAUGUUAAUUCCUUCAACCCGCUCAGUCAGCAGAGUUGGUACGGCCUCAACAAUAUGAUGAACAGUCAAGGGACACAGAACUUGCAGGUCUUGCAAGGGUUGCUGCAGCAAAGUAUGGGCAACGAUCUAUCUGGGUUACAAGUUCAAAAUAUGCCCAACACACCUCAAAAUCUUUUGGGCAACAUAUCUCAGAAUCAAUGGGCCAAUUUGCCUCAAAAUCAGUUUACCAACGUGGCUCAGAGUAGCUUGGAAACUACAGAUAGAGAUCAAUUUGAUAACACGGAUUCGUGUACAGAAAAAAAGCUUAAAAGAAAAAUUGAUAGUGAUUUUUUAGAUGACCGUCAUUAUUAUGAGAAAUUUUAUGACAAAUUUGAUAUAGAGGGUCCCAGUUGUAGUAAAUCGAAGAUCAUUAAAGAAUCAGAUUCGAGGUACCGGCGCAGUGAAACACCAGCAAGUGACGUUUCUGAUAGAGAUGCUAUGACGACAUCGGACAUGUUAAUUUUCACCAAUAUUAUUUUAGCUUCCACCAAGUGUAACCACAAAAGCGCUGUCGAACAAAAUGAGCGAAGUGGGCGAAGUGAAGUUUGCGGAGAUGACCGGACAGAACAAAGCCAUCGUGAGGUUCACUAACGCCCGCGACGCAGAACGCUGUGUCAGACUAUUUGAUCGUUCUAAAGUGGAUGGGCAGAUAAUCAACGUGAAAUUCCUAUAAGUAAUGUGGAGUAUGCAGCUGAAUUCAAGAGUCGAUUUUAAUUUUAAAUCCUGGCUAAUUUAUAGCUAUUUAUUUAUUCUAGUUUUAGUGUUAAGUCAGUAUUCAAUCAUAUAAUUUUAUUUCAAUAAAAUGUGUUUGCAUA